UUGAUCCUGGCUCAGGAUGAACGCUGGCGGUCUGCUUAACACAUGCAAGUCGAACGGGCUCUUCGGAGCUAGUGGCGGACGGGUGAGUAACGCGUGAGAAUCUGCCUUCAGGAGGGGGAUAACGACUGGAAACGGUCGCUAAUACCCCAUAUGCCUACGGGUGAAAUGUUUUUCGCCUGAAGAUGGGCUCGCGUCCGAUUAGCUAGUUGGUGAGGUAAGAGCUUACCAAGGCAACGAUCGGUAGCUGGUCUGAGAGGAUGAUCAGCCACACUGGGACUGAGACACGGCCCAGACUCCUACGGGAGGCAGCAGUGGGGAAUUUUCCGCAAUGGGCGCAAGCCUGACGGAGCAAGACCGCGUGCGGGAUGACGGCCUAAUGGUUGUAAACCGCUCUUCUCUGGGAAGAAGAUGACGGUACCAGAGGAAUAAGCCUCGGCUAACUCCGUGCCAGCAGCCGCGGUAAUACGGAGGAGGCAAGCGUUAUCCGGAAUUAUUGGGCGUAAAGCGUCCGUAGGUGGUUCAUCAAGUCAGCUGUUAAAGAGCGGAGCUCAACUCCGUCGGAGCGGUUGAAACUGGUGAACUAGAGUUUGGUAGGGGUCGAGGGAAUUCCCAGUGUAGCGGUGAAAUGCGUAGAUAUUGGGAAGAACACCGGUGGCGAAAGCGCUCGGCUGGGCCAAAACUGACACUGAGGGACGAAAGCUAGGGGA
rnacentral:rRNA from 1 species